UUAUCCAGCAAUGGAUGACUGAGUGGCGAACGGGUGAGUAACACGUGGGUGACCUACCUUCGAGUGGGGGAUAACGUCCCGAAAGGGACGCUAAUACCGCAUAACAUCCUGCCUUUGAACAGGCGGUGAUCAAAGCCGGGGACCGUAAGGCCCGGCGCUUGAUGAGGGGCUCGCGUCUGAUUAGCUAGUUGGUGAGGUAACGGCCCACCAAGGCGACGAUCAGUAUCCGGCCUGAGAGGGCGGACGGACACACUGGGACUGAGACACGGCCCAGACUCCUACGGGAGGCAGCAGUGGGGAAUUGUUCACAAUGGGCGCAAGCCUGAUGACGCAACGCCGCGUGGAGGAUGAAGGUCUUCGGAUUGUAAACUCCUGUUGCCCGGGACGAAAAGCUUCGACCUAACACGUCGAGGUCUGACGGUACCGGGUGAGGAAGCCCCGGCUAACUCUGUGCCAGCAGCCGCGGUAAUACAGAGGGGGCAAGCGUUGUUCGGAAUUACUGGGCGUAAAGGGCGCGUAGGCGGCCUUCUAAGUCGAACGUGAAAUCCCUGGGCUCAACCCAGGAACUGCGUCCGAUACUGGAAGGCUUGAAUCCGGGAGAGGGAUGCGGAAUUCCAGGUGUAGCGGUGAAAUGCGUAGAUAUCUGGAGGAACACCGGUGGCGAAGGCGGCACCCUGGACCGGUAUUGACGCUGAGGCGCGAAAGCCAGGGGAGCAAACGGGAUUAGAUACCCCGGUAGUCCUGGCCCUAAACGAUGAAUGCUUGGUGUGGCGGGUAUCGAUCCCUGCCGUGCCGAAGCUAACGCAUUAAGCA
rnacentral:rRNA from 1 species